UAGUGCAAGCUUCUUCUCACUACCAGCCAACAAAAUCAGGAGUUCAACCUCCCAACAAAAUCUCAUUGGCUUUUUCCUAACUUGAUGGCGUCUUUUGCAGAGGAAAAGAACAUGCCCAUGUUCCUCUAACCGCUGUUGGGGCAUUGUUCUCUAUCUUCUGGAUUUCACCCGAGUGUUUCCGGAGAGAAACAGAGCAAUUCUUCGUCAAGGGUGCCUGCACCGAUUUCGGCAUGUCAGAUUCAUCCUCAUAUCAGACUUGGUAUUCAACGCCGAUGGAGUUCCAAGAGCCCGAGCCUCCAUCUGUGGUUUCUUAGCUCCUCCACAACGUGAGAGGGUAGUCAAGGACACCAUGGAAUGUUUGUGAUUUAUUUUCUGUAUUAGGGGUUUUCUCAGCAUCAGCUAACCCCGCGAUCCCAUAGUUAGGUAUUCAAUAGGAAAGGGAGCUCUUCAUCCUUCUUCUCAUCAUCUCCACAGCGAAUUAGAUCAAAGGGUUUUGUUUCCACAACGAAGAUGGGAGCGUGAGUGGGAGAGAAUGUUGAGGGCUCUGUAAGCAACAUAAAUAAACCCAGGCACAUAAAAAAUGAUCAUGCAAUGUUAGGAGGGGAGUUUGUUUUGCAAAGAGGACAGCUGGUGUGCAAUCCGCUUUCUAAAAGCCUAAGGAGAAGUGUUAGAGAGAGAAUUACUACUAGGAGGUUGGAGGGCUAUGCUCGAUAGUAAUUAGUGAUGCUAGAAUCGAUUAAGGAGGAGCACAUAGCAGAGUGCGCAAGAGUCUUCGAAGCCACUAAUCUCAAAUUUGAUGCUAUUCAAACUUCCAUAGCCCCAGCUUCUGUACGAUCAGCGUCGGAGCCGCUCUCUGUCGCGUGAACUAUCCCGUGGUUCGAACUCAGGGUCAGAUCCACCAUUUUGGACGGGCUUACAGCCAAGAAAGGUGACUUUGGGUAGUGAUGCUUUGGGUAGGCUUUUUGCUAUGAACUAGUAUUUUAAAUUUUUUUGGAUACCCGAAGAGGAGCAAAUCAGCAUCGUUGUAAUUCAUAUGUCUGGGACGGCAAUUCUGUGGUUUCAAAUGUCUCAGAGGACGGCACAGUUUUGAUCUUGGAAUCAAUUGAAGAGGGCUAUUGAGAUCGAGUUUGGUCUAUCUUUAUUUGAGUCUCUUAGGGAAUUAUUGUUCAAAAUGCAACAGUCUAGCUCGGUGAGUGAAUAUUAUUCAGAAUUUG